AAGAGUUACAAGAAUGUCUCCAAAAAAAGUGUGUCUUCUAUGGACUCCCAAUCUUAGAAGAGGUGUAAACAACAACAGUGGCAGCAACCACCACCACUACCACCACCACAACAAAACAAGUGUUUGAGAAUAACAUCAAGAACCACUUCCAGAGUCCUGCCAGGUUGCCAGAGUCCUUCCAGGUUGGAGCUCCAAGGAGACAGGAAUGAAACAGCAACUCAAACAGACAGUGAUGGAGAAUUCCUGAUCGAGUUUACAUUUGUUUCACAUGCAGAAGACAAGCAUGCUUAAACCCUGGAUUCAGUAUGGAGAGCAUCUGCGUGGGAGGGUAAAUGCAUAUAUGUUUUUGUGUGUUUUGAUUAGCCCACUUUCAUUUUGGCAGAUAGGUAUACUUUUUAAAACUUGGAAAAAGUUUAUUUUUAAUUUGAGAGUAUGAAUUAUACUGAGUGCAGG
rnacentral:sRNA from 1 species